rnacentral:lncRNA from 1 species
CAAAACAUAUCAUCUUAUACACAUUUGACCAUUAUAACAACUAAGCCAAAUCUCAUGGCUUAAGAACAUUAAAACACAUAACUAUACAAUAAGCUAAAAUAACCAAAAACAUAUUCCGAUAUACUAGCCUAUACAUGCCAUAUUUACACAACUUCCAUGAGUUCAAAAGUACUGAGAAAUCGACUGGAUAGUGUGAUGCUUAUCUCCGACGCCGUUCGAAUCGAGCUAGCUAACGAAACUCUAUAAAACACGAAGAAGUAAACUGAUCAGUAAGCAUUAAAGCUUAGUAAGCCUGUAUAAUAGAAUUUAAACUUACCACAUUGCAUAAUUUAAACAAUUAAAUCAAUAUGUCCAACUCGAAUAUUCAAAUGCCUAUCACACAUACACCUCAAUAGGUUAGAGUCUCAAAUAUGCAUAUAAUCAACAUUUCAUCCAUGAAUGAUUCAAUUUGGCAUUCAACUCACAUAGCAUUUCAUUCAUACAUUUCAUAAAAUCUUGUUUCCAGUUCCAUACGUCCUCAUAACACAUAUCAUAUUUCAUCUAUACAAUUCACAUAGAUCAUAUUCAUUCUCAAUCAUAUAAUCAGUAACAGUAUAAUGCCCUUUGAACCUAAUGAAACAUCGAAGGAUACUCUGGUGAUACACACUAUGUGCAUUAAUUGGUAAUCUGUCAAUUCAUUAUCAUUUCCGCUCUUUCGAGCCAUGAUCGGUAAGCUCAUUUUGAGCUGAAGAACGGUAAGCUCUAUCGAGCUGAAGAACAGUAAGCUCUAUCGAGCUGAAACGGUAAGCUCAUAAGAGCUGAUAUAUCAGUAAGCUCAUACGAGAUGUGGUGAGUCUAAAAAAAAUUUAGGAUCUCGACCAAAACGGUAACCCUAGUGACAUGUCACUCGUAUCCUACGGUUUUCUAUAGUUUAAACGGGGCUCGGCAUUACUCAAUACAUUUCAAAUUAAGCAAUUCAAUAUCGUUUAUUUCAACCAUUCAAUUCACACACAUAUAUAUACAUAUACAUAUACAUAUUCAUUUCAUACAAUUGCAAUUAAAUGAAAGUUCGAUUCUAAUUAUACAAACUUACCUCGAGUUGCUCAGAUGGAAAUUAUCGACUAUUCGUCCAAUUUUCCUUUUCCCCGAUCUAAUCCCAAUCUCGACUUAUCUUGAUCUAUACAUUAUCAAAAUCAAAUUAUUUAAUCAACUAUUUAUUCAAUUUAGUCCAAAACACACAUUAGGGUUUUUUACACAUUUUCCCCUAAACUUUCACAUUUUUACAAUUUAGUCAUUAUCACAUAAAAUUGCAAAUUCAUGCAAUUUAGUACAAACCCAUGCUUAACUGAAUUUAAUACAUGUUACUAGCAGCCCAUAUUUUCAAUUUAUUCACACUUUUAACCACCACAUUUCACAUUUUAUCAAUUUAAUCCCUUUUUGACAUUUUUGUCAAAAAUUACUUUACAAAACUUGUAUAUCUAACAUUAAACCUUCAUAAUCUAUCAUUAAACACUAAAACAACCAAGCAUUCAAAAAUGGCAUCAUUUGAAAUCUAUAACAGUUUCAAAAAUGCUCCCCAAUGGCUAUUUCUUGGUGAAAAUCGGUGGAAGAUGAAGAAAGAAUGAAGCAUUUUUCUUUUGUUUUAUUUAAUUUACUAUUAAUUACCUAAUUACCAUUUUACCCUUACCUAACUUUAAAAAUUACUCAAUUACCAAGCCAUGCACAUCCACUAACUUAUGUAAUGGUCUAAUUACCAUAUAAGAACCUCCACUUUAAAUUUCUAUGGCUAUUUAAUACUUUUAGCUAUUAGAACUCAACUUUUACGCUUUACGCAAUUUAGUCCUUUUUACCAAAUUAAGCGUUCAAACAGUAAAAUUUCUUUACGAAACUUUCACCUAACGAUUCUAUCAUGCUUUAAAAUUUAAUAUAAUAAUAAAAUUAAUAUUUUAACUUCAGAUUUGUGGUCUCGAAACUAUUGUUCCGAUUUGACCUGAAAACGAGCUGUUACAAAAGAAAUGAGUUAUGUAAUGUGUUUAAUGGAGGUCCAUAUAUUUUCUGGAGCUUUAUUAUCAGAGUUUUGUUAAAGGCUGAGAGUUCUAUUUUGGCCUAGAGUUAUGGAAUUUAUUGAAAUACUAUAUGUUCUAAUUGAUUGGAACUCCUUUAAGAUUCACUAAGAAUUGCAAAAGUGAUACGAGAAAGUAAAAAUGUUAUAGUGAUAUAUGUGUUUCAGUAAUACAUGUGAAUUAUGUGUUAAAUGAAAUAUGUGAGUUAAGUGUUUAUGUUAUAUUUGUGGUAUGGGAAAAAAGAUUUUGAUAUGUGAAUGUGAAAGUUGAUUAGUGACUAUAUGUGUGAAAGUAAAAAUUAUAACUUAUAAAGUUAAUUUAAAUGAUUAUAUGUUUUGAAAAUAAAUUAAAAGUUUAAGUAUAUUAGUGAACGAAACUAUGUGAAUAAAUGUUAUUAAAAAAUUAUUUAAAUUGUGCAUAUAUAUAUAUAUAUGGUGAGAUUGAAUUCAAUUGAGUACUUAAGUUAUUCAAAUAGCUUAACACAUUUAUUCAAAUAUGUAGGUAAAAGAAAAUAUAUUGAAGGUAUGUGAACUACUUUAUAAUGAUUGUUAAUUCAACUUCGAUCACAUUACUAAUCCAACCUACAAGACCAAUUCCUUUUUGGUAUGAAUAUAAAUUUUGGACUUUAGAGAUGGCAUAUACUUAAGUUUCGUAGUGUAUAAAUGUAUAAUAAAAUGUUAUAAAAUAAGUGUAUUUGUGUAAUUUCAAAAAAUGAUUAUGUGUUUAAAUGUAACUGUUGCUCGGAUCUAUUAUCGGAUCUAGUGAGGGUGUUACAUGCCUAACCUAAAAAUGGACAAAACUGGAAGUUAGAAAACACCGUACUACCCAACCUAUCUUGAUCUUCUCCACCGUUGAUCUGCCAGGCUUACUCUUCCCAAUCUUUAGUACUAAGACCCGCCAUGUCUUCCUCCAUCAUAUCCAAGAAACAAGACCUGCAAAAGAAAGAAAAAGCAAAGAUCAAUAGAAGAAACUAGCCACAAAGGCAGACGAGAAAAUAGACGAAACGUGCCACGAAUAAUUAAUUUGAUCCCAAGUACUCACUUUAAUAAAUUGUUUUAUUCUCUCAUGUUCCUGUCAAAAAACUCAAAUAUAAAAAGUACUUCCUUAACAAUGUUUAACUUUCCUUCUUGUUUUGAUUUGGUCCAAUGUCGUUUUGAAUUUAUAGUUCAAAACAGCAAUAUUCAACCCUGACAAGCAGA